GCUCCGGUGGCCUAGUAGUCAAAGCGUCCGCCUCAGAUUCGGGAGGUCGUGGGUUCGAUUCCUGGCCUAGUGACA